rnacentral:ncRNA from 1 species
UUAUCCGCCCCAGCUUCCGGUGUGCUCUGCUCGCAUGUUCAAUCGCUUGAGCCCAGCACUUAAACGGGAAGUCGGUGCGCGGUCCUUCGCUUUUUGAAAUCCGCAAUCCCGACACUGCCCCCGCAACGGUAAAGGCGUGAGCCGAUAACAGAUGUCACUGUAUCCACGGAUAUGGGAAGGCGUUAUCGCUCAGGGUAUUCAACCCUGCCGCCUGAGUCCGGAGACCGGCCUGAAGCUUGGGAAGUUA